UCCCAGAGUCCCUUACUGCUAUGUUUGAGAUUCUCCCAUGAGGUAGACUUACAUGACUUGGAAGGUGGAAGGGGACCGAAGUCGUUUCUCUUCAGGAGUGGUGGCAGGUACGUGUAGGCUGCAGCAGGCACGAGCUUGUGCAGUGGCCCCGCUCUGCAUUUCCUUGUCCGGUCAGUCGCCUGCUCCACAAGCAGGGACAGUUGCGCGGUUGGCACAGCUUCCUACUGCUCUCUGACCUUGGAUUACAGCUGCUGUAGUGGCUGAUGUCAGCCUCUGACUUCUGCAGCUGCAGCCAUUCCCACGGCUUAGUAAGCACCUGUUCCCGCGUGGAACGGCAAGAGUAGUCUCGGGUUCCUGCUCUGAACGCUAAGUAAUAGAAGUGCGCUCCGCUUCUCCGGGUCUUGAGUCUGUUUUUAACUUUGACAGGUGCCUGACCAUGGCGGAUGAGUCAACUGGGAAGUUUUCUGUGCAUCUUGGGCACUUGAGUGUUGAGAAGACAUGGCAGGUGGAGUCACUCUUGAACAGAAUGUGGACUAGGCAGCCGGGAACAGGCAACACAAGCAGCCCCGACAAGCUGGAGCAGCACUUCUCUGAGACUCGACUUUGAGUGUCUCCUGGAAGGGAAGCACUAACACAGUACUCCCAUACUCCCAUGAGUACUCCCUGAUCUCCCCAUGAGCAGUCCUCUAAUGAUACAGGGUUCACAUAAUGGAAGAAGGUAUGAAGGGAGAAGGGGCAUCCACGAAACUGCCCCAAAGAGGAGGGUGGAGAGAGGCUGGAAGGAAGUGGUAUCACAUCCCACUCUGGAAUAACAAGGAAGACUAAGAUUCUCUUUCUUUCCCUAGCGUUCCCAGGUGUAGACAUAGGCAACCUGGGUAGUAGCUAUUGUUUGGGAAGGGUUGUUUGGGAAGGGUUAUAAAGCUAAGUUGUUGGAGAUAGUCACAAGGUCUUUGCUGUUCUUCUGGUUUUCUGGUUUUGGUUAGUGGUUCUGGGGAGCCUUUUGGCCAGUGGGCUUUCUAAGGUUCCCCUCUCUGGCUCCCUCAGGGUCUCUAUAUUACUGCCUGUCUGUCCUCCUCUCCCAACCCCACUUCUUUCAGCCAUGGAUAUUCCUGGGUUGGGGAUUUGCCUCUAGAAUGUCAAAGGGUCUAGGUCAGGGACCAUGAAAAAUCACUGUGGGAACAGCAGUUCAGUAUUGGCUCUAUUGGAAGGACAGCUAAAAGGGAAUCUGAACAGGCUUUCCGUCUAGACCCCACUGCCCAAUAGAAACAUGUGAGCCACAUAUGUAAUUCUAUCUUUUCUAAGUUUAUUAAAAGUAAACAAGUGAAAUUAAUGUAACAAUAAUUUUAUUUAGCCCAAUAGAACCCAAUAUAUGUUGAUUAUAUCAGCAUAUAAUCCAUUUAAAAUUACUGAGAUUUUUAACUUUUUUUUUUUCAUUAAGUCUUUGAAAUCUGGUCUAUAUUUUGCACCAACAACAUAUCUUAAUUCAAGCGAGCCACAUUUCAGGUGCUCAAUAGCCACAUGUGGCUAGUGGCUAAGUUCUAGACUAUCAACCCCUGUCCUCCAGGGGAGGGAAGAGAGGGAUUAAGAGCUUUUCUCCAGGAAUCAGAGGCUCAAACUCUCUCUGUAUUGACCACUUAGGAACCUGAGGGGACAAGAAAGGGUAGAGUUGAGUGGAAAACCUCAAUCCCAAUAUUGGACUCAAGUAAAGCAUUUACAUGUGACUAGGAAAAAGGAAGUUGAUAUAGGAGCAGCUGGAUCAAGGAGACCCAGCCACAAACAAUCCUUUAUUCUUUUGGGGACCUCAAGGCCCUGAUAAUGAAGUAACCAGGGCUAAAGAGAAAGCAAAGCAAAGUGGACUACUUUCGUCUUUUUGCCAGAGAAUGUUAGAAGACUAUACACCUCAGUUGAGCUUAGUAACUACUUACAGAUAUUAUGCUCAAGAGACUUGUGGCCUCAGCAGUGAUUAGGGAAUAUGACACAUACUUUAAAAUGAGGGAUCUGGGGGGCACCUGACUGGCUUAGUUGGAGGGGUAUGUGACUCUUGAUUUCAGGGUUGUGGGUUUGAGCCCAGUGUUGUGUGUAGAGAUUAUUAAAACAAAACAAAACAAAACCAAACCACUUAAAAUAAAAUAAAAUGAGGGUUCUGGGAGUUUAAGGGAAUAUAAACUAUAGGCAGGAAGUGGCAGGAAACGGAGCCCAGGAACAAUCAGUCCGAACUCUACCUUAUAGAAGGGGUAUCUUCAAGGCAACUCCCUGCAGACACCGAAACCAGCUCACAGAGAAAGAAGGCAGUCAGAACACAUGUACCUAUCUUACUCCCUACUGAAACCAUGAUACAAUUAUAGUAAAGGGAUUUUUAAAAACAGUGCAAACCCACAAAGAUAGGAAGAAUGGGAGAGGAAAUAUCAAUAACUGGAAAUUUGAAAGUAGAGUGGUAAUGACUUAGCAGAUCCAGGAAAAUCGAUUCCCAACCUGGCAAAGGGGAAAGCCAAAAAGUCACCCAAUUUGUACAAUAGAAUCCCUUUCAAAGGCAUAAGAAUUCAUGGCAUCCAAUCACUGGAAGCAGCAAGAGCCUAAAAUAAGAAUUGGUUGAUAGACUCCCAAGUCAUCUCCCCACCAGUUAAGGGGUUGUUCCUUCCUCACCCUGACUGAAAAAUAGAAGUUUCAACCUUGAGGAAAUAAAGAGAGGGUUUUUUUUUUUUUUUUUUUUUUUUUUUGAUGGAAGGAAGCCAGGAAUAGUUGAGGGCUGGGUACCAUAAUGAAAACAAAGAGAUUAGGUAAAUGUAUACACAAUGGAUACUGACACCCUAGCUCUUCUCCUGUCCUCAGCCCCCUAAAACACUUGCAGCCAGAUCUUCAUACUUCUAGGCAAUGUAAACACUGGAUGUUUAACUAUAAUCAGGAUAUAAGUACAGUGGGAGUCUAUGAUGGGCAGAGGGUAUGUGUGUGUAUGUAUGUAUGUAUGUGUGUGGUAAAAGUGUAGACAAUAGUGAACGUAUAAAAAAAAAAACCUGAAGAAGUAGUGAUAUGAGUCUAUGAUUUAGAGAAAAGAUGUAAAACCCCAAAAAAUCAAAACAAAAAAGAAGAACAUAGUUGUUUUUAUGGAGGAAGUCAUGGGGGUAAUUGUGGUGGUGGUAGGCAUUGAGAAGGCAAGGAAUGCUAUCACAAACCUUGUACAAAUAUUUCAUCCCUUAAGCAACUGGCAUGUAAAGCUUUGGGAGGGGCAGAGAGAGGGAGAGAGAGAAUCUCAAGCAGACUCUGUGCUAAGUGUGGAGCCCAAUGUGGGGGUCGAUUCCAUGACCCUGAGAUCACGACCUGAGAUGAAACCAAGAGUCGGACCCUUAACUGACGGUGCCACCCAGGUGCCCCGCAUGUAAAGCUUUAUACAUUACAUGCUUGAUCAAAAAAAAUGCAGACAAGGGUGCCUGGGUGGCUCAGUUGAUUAAGCAACUGCCUUCAGCUCAGGUUAUGG